UACGUAGGGAGCAAGCGUUGUCCGGAUUUACUGGGUGUAAAGGGUGCGUAGGCGGCUUUGCAAGUCAGAAGUGAAAUCUAUGGGCUUAACCCUUAAACUGCUUUUGAAACUGCAGGGCUUGAGUGAAGUAGAGGUAGGCGGAAUUCCCGGUGUAGCGGUGAAAUGCGUAGAGAUCGGGAGGAACACCAGUGGCGAAGGCGGCCUACUGGGCUUUAACUGACGCUGAGGCACGAAAGCGUGGGUAGCAAACAGG
rnacentral:rRNA from 1 species